AAGAAAGUAAGAAAGGGCGUAUGGCGGAUGCCUAGGCUCACGGAGGCGAUGAAGGACGUGAUAAGCUGCGAUAAGCUUCGGGUAGGUGCAAAUAACCCUUGAUCCGAAGAUUUCCGAAUGGGACAACCUAGCCGUCUGAAGGGCGGUUACUAGCACUUAAGUGUUAGAGCUAACGCAGGGAACUGAAACAUCUUAGUACCUGCAGGAAGAGAAAAUAAAUUAAUGAUUCCCCCAGUAGUGGCGAGCGAACGGGGAACAGCCCAAACCAGUGGCGUCGCAAGGCGUGGCUGGGGUUGUAGGACCGCGACAUUGUAUGCAAAUCGUGAACAGAACACUUUGGAAAAUGUGACCAUAGACGGUGAUAGUCCAGUAUGUGAAGCGAAAUGCAGCAUAGCGGUAUCCUGAGUAACGCGGGACACGAGGAAUCCUGCGCGAAUCUGCCGGGACCAUCCGGUAAGGCUAAAUACUCCCGUGAGACCGAUAGCGAACGAGUACUGUGAAGGAAAGGUGAAAAGAACCCCGAGCAGGGGAGUGAAAUAGUUCCUGAAACCAUGCGCCUACAAGCGGUCGGAGCAUCUUACGAUGUGACGGCGUGCCUUUUGCAUAAUGAUCCUACGAGUUACCGUCACUGGCGAGGUUGAGUGUCACGAGACACGUAGCCGCAGUGAAAGCGAGCCUGAAUAGGGCGCACAGUCAGUGGGGGUAGACGCGAAACCAAGUGAUCUACACUUGGCCAG
rnacentral:rRNA from 1 species